rnacentral:lncRNA from 1 species
GAGUUGCCGGCCUUCUGAUGCUUCCGCUACCAGAUCUCGACCUCUGGCCACUGGACCGUCUUCCCAGUCCCAUCAAGAGAAAACCACAGACUCUGGGCUCACUGAAGGCAUCUUCCCAAGGGAUUGUUGAAGAAACUUCUGAAGAGGGAAACUCUGUACCUGCUUCACAAAUGUUGCUGCUUUGACCAGUAAGAGAAGCUUAGUCCUUAUGCCAGAGAGUUCUGCAGAAGAAAUCACUGUUUGUCCUAGACCCAGCUAAGUUCCUCUGAAACUUUUGACCUUGAAAGAGAAGUCUCUCCAGGUAGCAGAGAUAUCUUGGAUGGAGUCAGAAUAAUAAUGGCAGAUAAGGAGUUGGUAACAAGGAAGAUGCUGAGAAGGAAGUAGCUAUUUCUACCUUCUCAUCCAGUAACCAGGUAUCCUGCCCGCUAUGUGACCAAUGCUUUCCACCCACAAAGAUUGAACGACAUGCCAUGUACUGCAAUGGUCUGAUGGAGGAAGAUACAGCUGGAGUGCAGUAGUGGAACCUUGGCUCGCUGCAGCCUCUGCCUCUCCA